rnacentral:rRNA from 1 species
AGUUGCCUCAGUACGGCGAGUGAGCGGCAACAGCUCAAAUUUGAAAUCUGGCCGCAAGGUCCGAGUUGUAAUUUGCAGAGGAUGCUUUUGGCGAGGUGCCUUCCGAGUUCCCUGGAACGGGACGCCAUAGAGGGUGAGAGCCCCGUACGGUUGGACCACCGAGCCUCUGUAAAGCUCCUUCGACGAGUCGAGUAGUUUGGGAAUGCUGCUCUAAAUGGGAGGUGUACGUCUUCUAAAGCUAAAUACCGGCCAGAGACCGAUAGCGCACAAGUAGAGUGAUCGAAAGAUGAAAAGCACUUUGAAAAGAGGGUUAAAAAGUACGUGAAAUUGUUGAAAGGGAAGCGUUUAUGACCAGACUUGGGCUUGGUUGAACAUCCGGCGUUCUCGCCGGUGCACUCUGCCAGUCCAGGCCAGCAUCAGUUUGUCCCGGGGGAUAAAGGCGGUGGGAAUGUGGCUCCCCCGGGAGUGUUAUAGCCCGCCGUGCAAUGCCCUGGGACGGACUGAGGAACGCGCUUCGGCACGGAUGCUGGCGUAAUGGUCAUCAACGACCCGUCUUGACCCCACGGGACCA